AUUGAACGCUUGCGGCAUGCUUUACACAUGCAAGUCGAACGGUAACAGGGUGCUUGCACCGCUGACGAGUGGCGAACGGGUGAGUAAUGCGUCGGAACGUGCCGAGUAGUGGGGGAUAACGCAGCGAAAGUUGUGCUAAUACCGCAUACGUACUGAGGUAGAAAGUGGGGGACCUUCGGGCCUCACGCUAUUCGAGCGGCCGACGUCUGAUUAGCUAGUAGGUGAGGUAAAGGCUCACCUAGGCGACGAUCAGUAGCGGGUCUGAGAGGAUGAUCCGCCCCCCUGGGACUGAGACACGGCCCAGACUCCUACGGGAGGCAGCAGUGGGGAAUUUUGGACAAUGGGCGAAAGCCUGAUCCAGCCAUGCCGCGUGUCUGAAGAAGGCCUUCGGGUUGUAAAGGACUUUUGUCGGGGAGGAAAUCCCCAGCGUUAAUACCGCUGGGGGAUGACAGUACCUGAAGAAUAAGCACCGGCUAACUACGUGCCAGCCGCCGCCGUAACAC
rnacentral:rRNA from 1 species